GGUGAUUGAUGGUUGAAAUGAAGGAUUUCUUUUACAUAAUGCAACCAAGAUGUGAGUAGGCAUGACCCGUGUACUUUUGUGUCAAGGAAAAGCAACAAGACAGAGGAAAAAAAGAGCACUAGUUACUGGGUGUCAUGCUAGUUGAGGAGCAGAACUAAAGGUAGGCAUACGAUGGAGAGCGGUGAAUGCAUCAGAAAAAAGGUACAUGAUGCGUAAUGUCAAUACUGUAGCAGGAAAGCGAUAGGUGCAUGUGAGGCUGAUCCAGGGGUUCGAUCCAACGACGAUCUAGCCGGCUGAUCCCACGCGCGGAUCAGCCGGUUGAUUCGUAGUACGGGCCAAUAAUUAAAGACAACCAUAUGGCUCCUGUCGGUUGUCGUACUCAUCGACAUGCAAGUCGUGAUAUUUCUAUACAAAACAUGAUCAUCUCAUACAUCACAUAUAUCUCAUCAUGUCAUUGGCCAUAUCACAACACAACAUACCCUACAAAAACAAGUUAGACGUCCUCUACUUGUUGUUGCAUGUUUUACAUGGCUGCUAUGGGUAACUAGCAAGAACCGGUCUUACCUACACGAAGUCACAACGGUGAUAUUCAAGUUUCUAUUUAACCUUCUACAAGGACCGCCUCUGUCGAAUCCGAUUCAACUAAAGUGGAAUAGAUAGACACCCGCCAUCCAUCUUUAUGCAACAAGUUGCAUGUGAGUCGAUGGAACCAGUCUUUCGUAUGUGGACGAGUAAGGUUAGUCCGGUCCGCUUCAUCCCACAAUACCGCCAAAUCAAAAUAAGACCAAGGAAGUAAGCAAUCUGAACAUCAACACCCACAAACUCUUUUGUGUUCUACUCGUGCAUGUUAUCUACGCAUAGACCUUGAUGUGAUACCACUAUUGGGAAACGUCGCAUGUGAAACAAAAAAUUUCCUACGCUCACCAAGAUCAAUCUAUGGAGAUCAACAACUACGAGAGGGAGAGUGCAUCUACAUACCCUUGUAGAUUGCUAAGUGAAAGAGUAUAUAACGCGAUUAAUGUAGUCGUAUGUCUUCAUGAUCCAAUCGCGAUCCGUCCCAAUCUAGCGUUGAACGAACGACACCUCCGCGUUCAGCACACAUGCGACUCGAUGACGUCUCCUCCUUCUUGAUCCAGCAAGAGAGGAAGGAGAAGUAGAUGGGAUCUCAAUCAACACGAUGGCAUGGUGGAGAUGGUGAUGGAGCAAUCCCAGCAGGGCUUCGCCAAGCGCCUCCGGAACUACGAACGAGGAAGAAUGUGAGAAACGGGAGGGAGAGGGCUGCCUCAAGGGAGA
rnacentral:lncRNA from 1 species